GACGAACGCUGUCGGCGUGCUUAACACAUGCAAGUCGAACGGAAAGGCCCUGCUUUUGUGGGGUGCUCGAGUGGCGAACGGGUGAGUAACACGUGAGUAACCUGCCCUUGACUUUGGGAUAACUUCAGGGAACUGGGGCUAAUACCGGAUAGGAGCUCCUGCUGCAUGGUGGGGGUUGGAAAGUUUCGGCGGUUGGGGAUGGACUCGCGGCUUAUCAGCUUGUUGGUGGGGUAGUGGCUUACCAAGGCUUUGACGGGUAGCCGGCCUGAGAGGGUGACCGGCCACAUUGGGACUGAGGUACGGCCCAGACUCCUACGGGAGGCAGCAGUGGGGAAUAUUGCACAAUGGGCGGAAGCCUGAUGCAGCAACGCCGCGUGCGGGAUGACGGCCUUCGGGUUGUAAACCGCUUUCGCCUGUGACGAAGCGUGAGUGACGGUAAUGGGUAAAGAAGCACCGGCUAACUACGUGCCAGCAGCCGCGGUGAUACGUAGGGUGCGAGCGUUGUCCGGAUUUAUUGGGCGUAAAGGGCUCGUAGGUGGUUGAUCGCGUCGGAAGUGUAAUCUUGGGGCUUAACCCUGAGCGUGCUUUCGAUACGGGUUGACUUGAGGAAGGUAGGGGAGAAUGGAAUUCCUGGUGGAGCGGUGGAAUGCGCAGAUAUCAGGAGGAACACCAGUGGCGAAGGCGGUUCUCUGGGCCUUUCCUGACGCUGAGGAGCGAAAGCGUGGGGAGCGAACAGGCUUAGAUACCCUGGUAGUCCACGCUGUAAACGGUGGGUACUAGGUGUGGGGUCCAUUCCACGGGUUCCGUGCCGUAGCUAACGCUUUAAGUACCCCGCCUGGGGAGUACGGCCGCAAGGCUAAAACUCAAAGGAAUUGACGGGGCCCCGCACAAGCGGCGGAGCAUGCGGAUUAAUUCGAUGCAACGCGUAGAACCUUACCUGGGUUUGACAUGGAUCGGGAGUGCUCAGAGAUGGGUGUGCCUCUUUUGGGGUCGGUUCACAGGUGGUGCAUGGCUGUCGUCAGCUCGUGUCGUGAGAUGUUGGGUUAAGUCCCGCAACGAGCGCAACCCUUGUUCACUGUUGCCAGCACGUUAUGGUGGGGACUCAGUGGAGACCGCCGGGGUCAACUCGGAGGAAGGUGGGGAUGACGUCAAGUCAUCAUGCCCCUUAUGUCCAGGGCUUCACGCAUGCUACAAUGGCUGGUACAGAGAGUGGCGAGCCUGUGAGGGUGAGCGAAUCUCGGAAAGCCGGUCUCAGUUCGGAUUGGGGUCUGCAACUCGACCUCAUGAAGUCGGAGUCGCUAGUAAUCGCAGAUCAGCAACGCUGCGGUGAAUACGUUCCCGGGGCU
rnacentral:rRNA from 1 species